rnacentral:lncRNA from 1 species
GGCACUCAUCAUGUUCGGGUUCAUGCCAAUUCCACUUUGAACCAUUUGCGGUCCCGAGAGAUUUCCUUGGCUCAUACCAGGCACAGCUUGACCCAUACUAACACCACCUUGGAGGUUGCUCAUUGGUUGUGACAUCCCAAGGUUAUUGUUGCCAGAGACAUUAGAGGUACCUGAAGUGAAUGAAUUAAGACCUGGGUUCUGCGCAACCUGUGUAAGAGUGCCGGACCCUGAAGAUGUAAAUACAUUUUGAGCAGCACCAACUGAAGAUGCCAUUCCACUAGAUAUCAUAUUUGAUACAUGCAUGGCCAUAGGAUUUUGACCCAUAGUUGGGAGUCCCAUAGAAGUUCCUCCAGUUAAGGCUGCUGCGUUCAUCACACGUGCCUGAGAGAUGUUAUUGAGGAUGCUACCUACAGGACGCGAGGGAUGUGUCACACCACUCACUACAGGUUUCAAAUCUGGCACAUUAUCAUUGUUUGUGGCCAUCUCUUGAGAAGCAGAAGAUGGUGAAGAAGUCUGCAAGCUCGGGACUCCUUGGGAAGGAGGACGGACAGAUGGAAUGUGUGCAAAAGAAGGUCCCAUGGAACUUACGGUACUUGGCUCCUAAACAAAUCAUAUCAAAACUUUAUAACUAUACGUGUGCAAUUUAAAGCAGUAUACCAGACCAAAGUGAACAUCUCUUUCCUUUGCACAAAGCAUAAAAGUUCAAGAGUGCAUAAGAAAUCUUACAACUUUUACAGUAGCAGGAGGCACAUUUCCAACAGAAAUUGGUUGCCGAUUCAUAACAGGUCCAUUCACUAAUUUGAAAAAGAGGAAAGAAAAAGAAAGGACAAGUUAGCAAACAAGCAGGAUAACCAAGAAUUAACCAUGAAAAAUUAUGAACAGCCUAACCAUAACAAACUUAAGUGAUUAAUUCAAGCAAGACAGCCUAUUAUACUAAGAUUUGUAAUUCAAACCUUACUAUGUUCAUUUGAGGGGUAUGACGAGACAAUUACUCUUAUAAAAGAUAAAAUAGAAAUUGCGACUACACCUUAUUGACACUGAAACAUUGAUAAUUUCAACAAAAAAAAAGUCAAAUAGAUAAGUGAAACCGAAUCAUUAAGUACUUUCAUUAACAGAAAAAAAAAAAAAAAAAAACCAAAUAUUUUGCAGUGGAAAAAGGGACAACAUAUUGACUGCAAAACCAACCAGAGGGCAUAGAAGUUGGAGGCGGCCCAGUAACUGAAGCAACAGGAGCUAUGUCCAUUUUUACAGGACUCUGAUUUGAGGGCAAAGUUGUAAUUCCUGGACGACUUAAAGUAGCACGGGCCUCCAUAAAAUUCUCUGAGAUUAAAACAAGAAAGCGGGGAUUUUUCGCAUUAUCAAUUGGUGGAUCUGCCGCUCUAGGGUUGCGCUUUCCCUGCAUUGGCAAAGUGCUCACUAUCACACCAACUUCUUCUAGUGAUCUUAAGCCAUAGGAAAUAAAAUAUUCAGUCUGGCAAUAAUACUAUCACCUCCCUUUUGUAUUGUCGAACAUUCUUUGCAGCUUUAUUAAUAUAAUUAGACAGUGGUUCCAUGCAUAUGAAUACCAGAAAAAACUAUAUUUUUUGUUCAAGACAGUCUAAGUGGUUGAUUUUAGAAUUCAACAACAUAAAGGGUUAAAGCUCAACAGAGCACCAAGGAAAAUAAAGGAAGUUACUUUAAUGUUGAUUUAGCAAGAUAUACAAAAGGUCAAAAGCUUAAUACAUACAUACAUACAUACAUACAUACAUACAUACAUACAUAUAUAUAUAUAUAUAUAUAUAUUAUAUAUAAUAUUUAAGGAUAAGAGAUAAGAGAUGGAACAUACCGCAUUGUAUAUUGCUCUGAGCUCAGGUAGCUGUAUUGGACAAAUGACUGACAGUGAAACAGAGCUCUGGAUGAAAAAGUAAGGGCUCAUUACUGAUAAUUUUCAACCUUCACGAGGAACCCAUCACAAGGAAAGGAACAGACAUCAUUAAAAUGGGAAUAAACAAAAACACUACCUGUGGAAAUGAUUUAGCAACAGCCUCAGCAUCAUAAAGACGAUUUUCUGUUUGUGCAUCAAUAUUUUCAUUUUGCUCCAAAUUUUGAAUUUGUGGCCGAUACACUGGUGUGGGCAGAGGGUGAGGUUUACUUGCAGCAAUAAGAACACAAUGCUUCUGACAAUCCACAUUUUGUUGAUUUUGGCUUCCAUUUUGAACUGUAGGGAACAUCUGUGUUUUACAUCAGAAGAAUAGUAAAUGUUAAGUUUAACAUGCGACUAAGAAAUGCAUUUGAACUCAAAAGUACUUAGACGGCUUUGAACAGCAUACCAUUAGAGCUUCCGAAAGCCCUUCCGCAAUUGCAGCAUCACUAAAACCACCCCCAGAAAAGGGUAUAGCUGAAAGCCUAUGUAAGAAGAGAUCCACAUCCCUUGUCCAGCCACUCCGUUGUACCAGGCAACCUUGAUGAAAGGUUGUACAAUUAUUUCAAAAUAUUCAUAUAUAUAUAUAUAUAUAUAUAUAUAUUGAGCAAAUGCCAGUUACAGUAAUGACAUGGAAUGCCUACAUAUCAUCUUGGUGAAUUGGGUUCAUAAGAAACAAGGUGUGAUACUAGUUAAGUGGUAAUUUACCAGGAAAAAAAAAAAAACUUCCAUUUCCAGCCAUAAGUUGUCCUACUAAGGGGAACUGGAAACGUAUAACUUAAUGUAGCUCGCUGUAUUUCCACAUAAAGUUCGCAAAACAAGUUUUUCAGACUUCCAGGUGGUGUUAUGUACAAAGAGCCACUACGUUACAAUAAAGUCUACUAAUUUUAGAAUUUAACUUAAAGCUAGUAAAAAUCCACCACUUCAAAGGGAAUAAUUCCACAAAGCAUGUUAAAAUCACCAAGAAAUCAUUUGCAAACCUUGAACAACAUCCACCUUAACUUUCAAACAAUUAUUUGACUUAGUAUAAGAUUGAACCCUGUUUACAAAGAACUAUUUGACUUAGUGUAAGAUUGAAUCCUGUUAGUAGGAGGAUGGAGGACUAGCAAGUCUUCCCCUACAAAAAGUAAAAUUCCUGAAGAAUUUGUAGUCAACCUCGUACUGCAAUAAUAAAUUAACAACACAAGUCAUACAUCCGAAAACUAGGAAUAAGAAGAACAAAAUUACAUACCACAAUAAGAUCCAUGAGUAUUGAACGUGACCAGGGAGAGCUCAACAGUAGAAGUCGACAGCUUCUGCAUCUCAAAAGCCAAAUUACAUAAUAAGAAAAAGACUACCAAGCUAGAAGUCUUACAGACGGAACUAAUAAUGUUGUUGCCAGUGAAACGUAAGAAUGGUUGUCUAUGGUUUGAUAAUAGUUGAUGUAGUGUACACAAAUGGUAAUCAAAUUAUUACAUGCAUGCUAUUAACAUCUAGUCAAAGAAGGCACAACCACCUACACGAAAACAUGUUUAAAUAUGUAAUGAACAAUUAACAGUUCGGACAAAUGACUUCUGAUGGAUAAUGAUAAACCUAAAGUAAUGGAAAAGGGACAUACCUGCCCACUUGGCUCGUUUCCACAGAAACUCCUGCAGGAAAAAGAUAAAUCAGAUGUGACUUAUUUAUAGAGUAGUGCAUAAAAUCCCAUGCAUGUUAAUGAAAAAUCAAUGACAAACUUCAUAUUUGGUUCUAUGUACAGGAAUGUAUUAGAUGAAGAUUGUUAAUAUUCCAAGUAUGAACUUUUGCUGAAGUUGUUAUAGCUAGGCACUUAUUAACUUUUAGAAUUCUCCAGGACACUAUAAAAAUUUCAUGUGCAAUGAAAUGAAACUGUAAAUGGGAAAUCAUGAUAAAACCUCAUCUUUUAUACUAUACUUGGGGGAGUUAAUUAAACCCCAGGAGAAAUAUAUGAUUCAACAGGACAAAUUCAUGAGAACUUACCUUGUAACCUACAUCAUAAGUAGAAACCAGAAAGUAACGUGUGAAAUCAAAGCCGGUCAUAGACAAGGAGGGAGAAAGAACAGAAGCUAGCUACAACACAGCACAAAGGAAGAAAGAUAGAAAAAUUACUAAGAACUUAAUCGCGAACCUUACGAUCUUCUCUAAAUAAUCUUUAAAAAUGAGUUCCCAGAAGGGACCCAUGGCUGCAGUCCCUUCAACAGUGAUGAUCAGUUGUUUCUCAGCCAUUAAGGUUUUCUCUGUGAUAGGAUUGGGGAUCUACUUUUAAAGAUCACAUUGACGACCUCGGGCAUAUCUAUUAGUCUCAUUGAUGAGCACGUAUGUACGUUUUUCUCUAGUUAUUGACACGUCUGCACGAAACUCUGUAAGGUAAAAACUAACCAUCCACCAUCGACCACGUAACCUAUACGUUACUGAUUAUAGUAUUACAAUAACAAAAAUAAUAUUAAGAAUUUAAAUAAUUAAUAAUAAUGUGUAAAAAUACACUUCAGACAUCGUAGUAUAGAGAAUGCUCACUCCAAUAAGCUGGAGCAUGAUACUCUGCUUCAAGAUGUCUAAGGAGUUAUCCACUCUCUCCUUUGCUUGACCACCGGAGGAAAACCAAUUAUUCAAUGUCAAACCCAAAACGUAAAUAUGACAGAUUUAGCCUAUAAGUACUGUAUUUGUUCCUAAAGCAGAAGGUUCUGUAAUAAGUUAAUAGCAAACACGGGAUAAUAACUGAAAGUUACCUCAUUAAAAUCGCUUGUAUUGUCUGCAUAAUUUGGAAGGAAGUUAAUCUUGAUACAUGGAAUGUAUCUAUCUGACCAAUUAUAGGACUUAUUUUCCAUCACAUGCCAACAAGCAACAAAUCAUCGCAUGGAGCUCAUCACCGCGGAUAGCUUCUAACAAAACUGACGAGAACUAACUAAUUAUUUAUAAAUCAAUCAAAAUCCAGUUUCCAUCAGGAUUAUAUGAAAUAAAACUUUGUACAUAGUAGAAAUAUAGCAAGGCUGCCUACGGUUUCACGGUACGAGGGUACAGAAAAAUCGGACCUUUCUACAACUACAACACACUAAACUAGUUUUAUCAGAUUCUUUAGUAGCUGACGAAAGAUUCAAAAUUGAACCAAAACUGUAUAGUUUUUCCAGCUAACAAACAACUACUCCGCAUAACCAAUUUCAAAGUGAAAAGUGAAAUUGCAAUCAAAUGUCGAAUCCGAGCCACCAAACGCAGCCGAAACAAGCUAAUUAAUCACAUAAACAAGCCACAUAAAAUUCUCGCCCGAUAACAAACACCAAAACCCUAAAAUCACAAUGCAACAAAAAAUCUAAAAAAGAAAUCAACAAAAGAAUAAAUUCAGCUAAGAAACUCCCUACCUGAUGAUCUUAUCAAGGUAAUCGGAGACGACGGUUGCCCAGCAGGGCCCCAUGGCGGCGGUGCCUUCAACGGCCACGAUCAGCUGCUUCUCCGCCAUCGUACAGCUAGAAAGGACCGUAGAGAAAUUUCAACUGCUUUUGCUGGCUGUGCGGCGGAAAUGUGUGAGAGUCCAAAGCUUGGAAACGGUGGUAAGUGCACGAAACGCAGCGUUCUGGACGACAAAGACGAGUAUUUUAAAUGGGAGUCGAUACCCCGCUGCUGCCGCGACUGGUUUGGGGUUUCUUCCGGUGGCGCAAAAUUAAAGGCCGAGCCCACAGCCUUUUUUAAGUUUUUUUUUUUUUUUUUUUUUUGAAAAACUGGAAAUAUUCAUAACCAGGGCUGGAACCAAAAACACAGGGAGACCUAUCAGGAGGCAACAACCAAAGUACACAAACAGAUGGCAAUGAAGAGGGGAACAAAGGCUAAAGAUGUUGCACCAAGUGUGAAGCGUCACCCUUUCACUACCCAAAAACAAUUACGGAGGACAGGGGAGGCCAUCCUUGUUCAAAAUAUGCACCAGCGAAUAUGGGGGAUGGUUAAUCCAAGUAUAACCACACAUCUCCGUGUUACUUCUCGACGCCAAACGGUCCAUCGCCAAAUUGACUGAUCUCGAAACCCAAUACCAACGAUACAUCUAAAAGGAAUCCUGAAGCCUUAAAAUUCUAGUCAACGUAGGAUAAGUCUCUCAGCUGCAGAGGACAAAUCAUUACCAAAAAUGUUCUCUUUAGAAUCCGAUUCAACAAUAAUUAUGUGCAAGCCCAGAGAAUGAGCAAAUUCACAUCCAAACAAAAUGGCAAGAGCUUCUGCCACAACAACACACGGAGCAGAAAUCAUCAGUUUCCACACCCCAACAAACCUUCCAUCAGUGCAUCUGGCCACAAUCCCCACACAGCCCUCAGCCGAAGUAACAUCCCAGCUCGCAUCAACAUUGAGCUUGGUAAACAUGGAACAGGGCAGAGAUCAACGAACCAAACCCAAAGGGGAAACCUGCUGAGGUAGAAAGUUCCUCAAAGGUGGAUAAGAAGCCUUCAAAAAAGUUGUUGUCGAAGAGGAGAUAGACAUAAUGACUUUUUGUGGGUUGAUAGCCGUUUGGUUAUAGAGAUUGUUGAUAAUCAAAAUCGGAGGUCUUGGAACAACGUAAAUCCGUCCGUGAAUCUGCAAGAAAUGUAAAUAACACAAGAGUUAUCGUGGUUUACCCCAAGGCUUGGGCUACGUCCACACUGAUUGUAUUUCUCUGACUGUAUGUAUGGAUUACAAGGGUGAGGGGGAGUCCCCCCAGAGAAAGAGAGUGUUAUUGUGUUUGUGAGGGUAUUGCCCUCUGUUGGGUUCACUAAGUCCCCUUUGUGAAAGGAGAAAAGUCCCUUUUUAUAGAAUAAGGGGCUCCUCCUUUUACAUAAUCAUAUGGGCUGGGUAAUGAGGCCAAAUGUAUCAAAGUCUGAGGCCCAAUAUGUGUGGUACCAACAGUAGUCCCCCAAGUUUUCAGUCAAGAGAGUCUUUUGGCUGGAGACUUCAAAUCCAAUCCAUGUAUGGGCCGAAGUGGCUAGAUGCCUUGAACCAGUACUCAACCCAAGGCAAUGCUCAACAUAAAGCAAUAUUCGGCUAGAGGUAUCACACGUUACGAGAUUGCUCGGUUGGAGGCGAUGCUCGUUGUGAGGCUGCUCGGCUAAAGGCUAUACGCGACGAGGCAUUUGCUCGGUUGGAGGCGAUGCUAAUUGCGAGACGGCUUGCUAGAGGCUAUGUUCGCUGCGAGACGGCUCGGUUCGUGGUACUCCUCAUUGCAAGUAUCUAUUUUAUGUCGACAUGCACUCAGUAUGAGUUAAUUCUCGACAUGACUCGGGUCCGCUUGUCGGGUUCGCAUAUUGGGUCUAUGUGUCGGAUCCGUGGAUCGAGUCCGCAAGUCGAGUCUUUGAGUUGGGGUCAUAUGUAUGGUCAUUGAUUUGGGGCUAUCUAUAGGGUUAUCGAGUUGGGACUAUCUGUAAGGUCAUCGAGUUGGGUCCGGGCACAUAAGUGUCCCAAUAAGCGAAUGUCCGUGCAAGUGGGUGUCCGGUCAGACAAGAGAUCACCAUGAGCACAUGGCUCAUCAAUCUAUAAGUUGGUAGAUUUCGUUAAUCAGCAAUAAUGUUGAUCAGUGGACCUAGUUGCUCAAUAAUUCCUAACAAUAAAUGACAGUAUAAGUACGACCGUAUAAUGAAUAAAUCAAAUUGACAAAGUUUGUCAAGGCAAAAUAUUGUACUAUGUGCCUUCUAUACAUAAAUAAUUUAUUCAGUCGUGUGGUAAAUAAUUUGUAUCAUAUAUCAACAAUAUAUUAGGUAUUGCCUAAAUGUGUGUGUAUAUAUAUAUAUAUAUAUAUAAUCAUAUGUUGUUUAAUAAAUCAUAUGUUGUAUAAAUCAAUAACGUGGUAUAAAUAAUGUGAUAUCAGAAAUAAUAUUAUUUAAUCAUAAGUCAUCAUAACAUAAAAAAUAAUAGGAUAUUAAAUAAACAAUGAUAUUCGGAAAACAUUAUGAUGUGAAAAGUAAAGCUCUUUUUUCUUUUUCUUUUUCCUUUUGUCCCUUCAUGAUGAAGGUUUUAUGGCACUAUCAUAUAUAUAUAUAUAUAUAUAUAUAUAUAUAUAUAUAUAUAUAUAUGUGUGUGUGUGUGUGUGUGUGUGUGUAUGUAUAUACAUAUAUUUAUCAUGAGGUGCCGCAUUAUAUGCACAUAUCACGAAAGCAAAUAAUAUAUAGCUAAAUGUGCACUAAAAUAUAAAUUUGAUAGAAAUGAUGUGGUCUCCUCAAAGAAUAUGCAUACUGUAAAGCAUCCCCAACACAAAAUAAUAAUAAACUAUUUAAAUAAACAAAUGAUAAGUUGGAGAAAAGUAAGAGGAUCUUCCUCCUUAGAAAUUAUAAGUUGCUUUCAUUUGGGAUCCUCAUCUUCUCCAAUUGGGUAUAUAUAUAUAUAUAUAUAUAUAUAUAUAUAUAUAUUUUAACAAAGGGAUAGUGGGUAAACAUUAUACCAUGUACCCUUUUUCUUUCUGCCAUGAAUGAUUACAGAUAUAACACUAAAAUAUUGAAAACAUGAGUGAUUAAAGAUAAGUAGCAGAACAUCAUAGAAUGCAUGUGAUGAUAAAAAAUAAUUAAAGGUAAAUAAUAAUAAAAUAAUAAUAAGGAACCCUUAUCUUCCUCCUGGGUCUUCCAGCUUUCUCAGAAAGUGGAAAGUGGACAUGGUGGUAUUCACAGGAGGUGGGAUCCCUGUGUCUGGAAUGAUUAAAGAUAGAUAAGUGUGAUAGAAAUGAUUGCCUUCGCUGCUUUUAGUGAAGGCUUUUUCAACAAAGUGGGAAAAUGCACUCCCCCUCCUAAAAUACAGACACCUUCCGUCGCACAGCACCAACACCGAGUCCAGUUCUUAUAGGCGAUGCUGAGCAGGUUGUGCUCCUCCACCGUCAGCUCGGUCCCGGCGGCGAUGGAGCCGACAACAAGCUUAUCCAUGAAGCUCAUCAUCUCUUCGUACCGCUCGGCCUGCUCGGCGAGUUUUGCCAGGUACACGUACUGUUCUCUGCUGAGGUUUUCAGGGACAGCAGAAGCCAUUGAAGCAGGCGAAUCAAGCGUUCUGCAUCCUCCCCGACAUGGGCACGAACGACAUCGCGGCCUGUGGAAGGAUCAUAGAUGGCAAGGUUGACAUAGGAAUAAGUGGACUGAAAGAGGCCGCAGACCAAAGGCAGACAGAGUCAGGGGCCUUCCAUGUCUUGAGAAUGCAGUAGAUGUCAACGAGGUGUUCAAGGUGUUGUGCUUGUGCCAGCAAUUGCCAACUCAAACUGAGCGCAGCACGGCCACCAGAGAAGGCAUAUUUUUGUCAACAGACUCCAGCUCACCUCGGAGGAAGAGGCAAGUCGAGUUCAAGAGGCUUUGGAGGUAGGUGCCACCAUGGCUGCUCUCCAACGACGGUGUUGGUGUCUUGGAUGGCAUUGAUUUGAUUAAUUAUAGCUGGCUGGCGGUGUUUGGUUUUUUGUACCUAAAAUCUAAGUAGUAAACUCAAAUAUAAGAGAGAGAGAGGGUAUAAAGAGACUGUGACUGUGACUGUUUUUUUUUUUAUUUCUUUUUGUUUUGGUUUUUGGGUUUCUGCAGAUUCACGAUAGAUAUUGUGGUGAGGUUUCACGGUGGUGAGAUAAAAAAAUGAAAGUCGUUUCCCACAAAUUGCACCAAAUGUUGAUGCACAAAACCGGAGGUCUUGGAACAACGUAAAUCCGACCGUGAAUAUGCAAGAAAUGUAAAUAACACAAGAGUUAUCGUGGUUCACCCUAAGGUUUGGGCUACGUCCACACUGAUUGUAUUUCUCUAACUGUAUGUAUGGAUUACAAGGGUGAAAGGGAGUCCCCCAGAAAAAGAUAGUGUUGUUGUAUUUGUGAGGGUAUUGCCCUCUGUUGGGUUCAAUAAGGGGCUCCUCCUUUUACAUAAUCAUAUGGGCUAGGUAAUGAGGCCCAAUGUAUCAAAGUAUGAGACCCAAUAUGUGUGGUACUGUUGAUCCUAAAAACUACAAAGCUUACGUAGCGCGCAGGCCGAGUAAUCUAUAAGCUAACUACGUCAUUCGAUGAAUGCGGGGCGUGCCAACUCGUUGCCCGAGCUUGACCGAGGAGUAAAUUUGUUGAUGUUGCGUUGGGUACGCGGCUGACUUCUGCGUCUUGCGAUUGCGACCGAAGAAGGAACACGUCUCGGCCUCUUGGGUUCUCGAACCUGAAGACAAGGCUACUAUUCUUACAAAGUUCACGAAUCGUCGUCGUUGGAUUCGGUCACAGUGAUGGUAUUCGUCAGAGUAAACUCACGCCGAAUCGACACCAAAGUGUAAGAGCACAAAUACUCGAAGCAGAUAUGAGUCUUAAUAAUGAACGUGGUUCGACCGUCUGAACGUCGAACUCUAAAUCCUACUUGAGAGUAUCCAAUCAUCAAAUAACUCGGCGUACAAUGUGCUGAGCUCGGUGGGCUGUAACACCUCGCUUCGUCGAAAAGGUUAACGAGAUGACCUCAAUCAAUAAGGAUUCAGAAAUCAUUCUCAACCGAGACUUGGAUAGGUAACCAACCGUCUUCGUCGUAGUGCUGUUGAUGCCAACAGAAGAUACUACGAGAUCGACUGAUUCUACGGCGACAGAGCUAUCUAUGUCGACCGAAGAUAUCAUUGGUUGCUUUCACAGUGUUGUUGAUGCCAACGGAAGAUGUGUCAGCGAAAAGAGAAAAUAAAAAAAAAUCUCAAGUUGUUGAGAGAGUUUGCGCAUGGCAGUUGUGUGUUGAAUUGGAAAGGGCUCGAACGAUGCACAGCCUCCUCUAUUUAUAGCACCGAAUACCUUCAAGGUCGAGUUAAAAACCUACCAAGAUUAGGACUUCUUCUCCUAAUCGAACUCCAACUCGACCAGUCUUUUUUUUCACUAUACUUUUGAACCCAGUCCUAUAUUGAGCCGGAUUCACUUCCAGGUUGUUAAUCUCGUCGAAACUCCUCAUUGCACCAGGAUUCGACUCGUCUUGCAGCAUGACUUAACCUACCCAGGUUUGGAAGCCCACGAACCAAACAAUCCAUGGUAACUUUGUCGUAUGGCCUUCCGGGCAGAGAAUAAUUCUAUACUCGGUCCAAACUGAUAUUUUGGGCCCAAACAGGUACCAACAGAGAUAAUUACACCGAGCCUUCCAAAUAAACCAACAAGUGAAGGCAACAUAAGACAAUGACCAAAUAGUUGCAUCCUUAGAUCCUAAAGGUGAAUUUAAAAAAAAGAAAACCAGUUCGCCAACAUCGAGAAACCAGUUUUAUCCACCACGUAAUAAACAGUCAAUAUUAAGACCAACUCCAAUGGUGGGCUAAAAGCUAAAUUUCCCCAUUUAUUCCCCUUCCCAAACACCACCCAACCCAUGCUAAAAUAUCGAGCUAAAAGCCAAAUGCCAAAGCUAGGCCAAAUUCCCCCAUAUGCGAGUGGACUUGCUAGCACUUGGGCCAGUCUCGGCCCGCCCACGCUCCAACGCACCCCAUGCGGUUGGCUUGCAAGGGUUUCCCGACAGGGGUGAGCCCCGCUGUCAGCUGUGUGUCGGCCAACAUUAUCAUCCUAACAACUAUAGUUUUAAUCCAAGGGCUGGGCUCAGUGGCGGAUCUACAGAGGGACCUGGGAGGUCCCAGGACCCUCCGGCAAUCCUAAAAUGCUACUAUAAAUUUUCUGGGGGACCCCUCAAAGCAGGAUCUGUGCUGUCAUGUGCUGCAGGUUGCAGCUUGCAAUGGAGAAGAAGACAGGGGGAAGAAAAGAAGACAGGGGGAAGAAGAAAGAACAGGGCCUAAAGGCCUUUUAAAAAAUUGGUCCAAAACGCAGUGUUUUGGCCAAUUUGUUUAAAUUGUUUUUUUUUUUUUUUUUAAAACCCAACCGUUUGUCCAUGAUUCCCGAGACCCUUUAACGCCUAGCCCACAUGAUGGGCCAUCCUGAGUCACUCUUCCUUCCCCACCCCCCAGUUCCUGCUUUUCCAUUCCCCCUAAUCCCCAUCUUUCUUAUAUUCACCCAAAACCAAAACCCUAAAUUUCUAAUCCCACCCAAUCCCAUAUUAUAAUUAUAUUACUCCAAUAUUAUACCUCCACUUGUUUCAAUUCUCCAAGCCACCACUAUUUGGUUCAAAAUUCAAGUAAGUUUUUUGGUAUUAAUCUAAUCUCAAUUAAAUUAUAUUAGAUAUUGGUGGAGAUUUUUAGUCUAUUAUUGAUAUGAUUGUUGAUAUGUUUUAUGUUUGUAUACUCAUUUUAUCAUUGAAAUUUAGAUGGAUUUUUUGUUUAUUGGUUGAUUGGUAUAUGUUUUGUGUUUUUGGUUAAAUGUGUAGUUUAGAAAUAAGAAAUAUGGAAAGAUUUUUCAAGCCAAAGCCAAUAGCACUAUCUACUUGUUCGGGUAGUUUGAGCUCAAGACAAAAUGAGCGUGACAUUGAUUUUAAUAGUCUUGAGAGAGACUUGGGAAAAAGAAUUCGAAUGAAGGACUAUCCUUCUAAUAUUCAAGAUGAGGUCCGAAUAGCAUAUUUGCAAAUGGGACCUUGUAGGCCUACAAAGUAUGAGUUCCCAUACACUUUGCAUGCAAAGAAAAAGCAACGAUUUGUUGUUUCGUGGUUUGAAGAAUAUGAUUGGUUGGAGUAUAGUAUAUCUAAAGAUGCGGCAUUUUGUCUUCAUUGCUAUCUCUUUAAAAUCAACUUUUCACAAUUAGGAAGCGAUGCCUUCACUGGGGUAGGCUUUAAGAAAUGGAAGAAUGCAAGAGAAUGUUUUGACAAGCAUGUUGGUCCUAUUGGUAGUUUCCAUAAUAAAGCUAGAGAAGCGGCUAGUUAUUUAAUGAACCAAAAGACACAUAUUGAAGCAGUUGUGAUCAAAUAGUCAGAAGAAGAGUGUAUGAAAUAUCGUCUUUAUUUGAAUGCAUCAAUAGAUUGCACUAGUUCUUGUUGCGACAAGUCCGUCCUUUUUGUGGCCACGAUGAAAGUGACACUUCGAAUAAUAGGGGGAAUUAUUUAGAACUCUUGCAAUUCCUUGCGGAUCAUGAUGAGAAAAUAAAGGAAGUUGUGUUGGAAAAUGCUCCGAGAAAUCUCAACCUAAUAGCUCAUUCAAUUCAAAAAGAUAUUGUCAAUUCAUGUGCCUUCGAAACUAUUAAGGCUAUUAUGAAAGAAGUGAAAGAAAGUAAAUUCUUUUAUAUAAUGGUAUGAAUCACGUGAUAUUUCAACAAAGGAGCAAAUGGUAGUGAUUUUGCGUUAUGUGGACAACAAAGGUCAAGUAAUUGAAAGGUUCGUGGGAGUCAAACAUGUUACUGAAACAACUUCAAGUAAACUAAAGGAGUCCAUUGAUGAGUUCUUGAAACUACAUGAUUUGAGCUACUCCAACCUACGAAGUCAAGGUUAUGAUUGAGCGAGUAAUAUGAGAGGUGAGUUCAAUGGCCUUAAAAAAAAAAUUUGGAUGAAGAAAGUUGUGCAUUCUAUGUUCAUUGUUUUGCUCAUCAACUACAAUUAGCUUUUGUUGCUGUAGCAAAGAAAAACUCCGAUGUUGGCGCUUUUUUCACAUUGACUAAUAAUUUGGUGAAUGUUGUUGGAUGCUCAUGUAAGCGUCAUGAUGCACUUAGAGAGAAACAACAAGAAAAUCUCAUGAAAGCUAUUGAAAAUGAUUGUCUUGAAACGGGGCAAGGGUUAAAUCAAGAAACUAGUCUCAAACGUGCUGGGAAUACACGGUGGAAUUCACAUUAUGGUGCUUUGAUUAGUUUGAUUACAAUGUUCUCAUCUGUGGUGGAUGUGCUUGACAUGAUUGUUGAAGAUUGCUACAAUGAUAGUGCUGGUGAAGCAAAAGGUUAUUAAAAGAUUUACAAUCUUUUGAGUUUGUGUUCCUCCUCUUUUUGAUGAAAUCCAUAUUAGGAGUUACAAAUGAUUUGUCACAAGCAUUACAAAAAAAGAAGAUCAAGAGAUUGUGAAUGCAAUGGCUUUAGUCAAGACAUGUAAAGAACAACUACGUUGCAUGAGGAAUGAUGAAAAUUUUGAUCUUUUGGUUGAUAAAGUAUCAUCUUUUUGUGUUGAACAUGAAAUUGAGAUGCCUAAUAUGGAUGAUUUAUAUGUCAUUCAAGGGAAGUCAUUGCGUAAGGCUCCAAGAAAGACCAAUCGUCAUCAUUACAAAGUGGAGCUCUUUUUUGAGGUCAUUGAUUUCCAACUUACAGAAUUAGAUGAUCGCUUCACUGAAGGUAAUACCGAAUUGCUUAUUUGCUUGGCAUGUUUGAGUCUGAAUGAUUCAUUUGUAGCUUUUGAUAAAGAGAAGCUUGUUCGCCUUGCUCAGAUGUAUCCUAAAGAUUUCAUGGAUCGAGAUAAAUUGGCACUUCAAGAUCAACUUGAUAUUUACAUUCAUUUUGUGCGUUCUGAUAAUGAUUUUUCUCAAUUGCGGGGGAUUAAUGAGCUUGCUAAGAAAAUGGUGGAGAAAGGGUUGCAUCGAACGUUUGCAUAUGUAUAUUUGCUUGUUCAGUUGGCUUUGAUUUUACCGGUUGCAACCGCUUCAGUGGAAAGGGCAUUUUCCGCUAUGAAUAUCAUUAAGGGUCCAUUUCGCAACAAAAUGGGAGAUCAAUGGUUGAGUGACAGCUUAAUUGUUUACAUUGAGAAAUAUGUUUUUUCAUGUAUUGGUAAUGAAGCUAUCAUGGAACAUUUUCAGACUAUGAAACCUCAUCGUGGACGCUUGAAUUAGGAUUUUAUAGCUUGUAAUGUUGUUUUGCACAUGAUUUUUGAAUGAAAUGUAUUAUAUUUAACUUUUCAAUGUUAUUUUUGUCUAUAAAUUUUUUGACCUUUAUUAUUAGGAUCCCCCAAGUUUAAAAUCCUGGAUCCGCCACUGGCUGGGCUUUAAGGACCGUUGGUUGAUCCAACGGUCCAUAUUCAAAUUUAAUUUUUUUAGAAUAUGUUAUUUUAAAAUACAUUGAAUCCAAUGGCUGAUAUUGAAUAUAAUCAAAUCUAACGGUAAAAAAAAGAUCUAAUGGCCCAAAUUUAAAUUUAACGGCUAAAAUAAUUAAAAAAAUUAUUUAACUCAAAAUUCACCAAAAAACUCUAUAAAUACCUAUGUAUUUGUUCAAACAUCCACCCAAAACUCAAUUUUCUCCUACAAUUCUACCAAUUUAUCUUUCUACCAUUUAUUUCCAUUUCCAAAUUGUUCAACAUGGCAAUAGAGCAUAUUAGAGGUCGUAAUUGAACAUGUGAGGAAGAUGUUGCUUUAUGUUUGGCAUGAGUUUCUGUUAGCGAAGAUGGUGCAGUUGACACAAAUCCAAAUAAGAAGGUUUUGUGGUAUAAAAUCAUUGCAAAGUUUCAAGAAAACUGCAAUUGCGGCGGGCGGGAUGGUAGUGGUGUUUAUGAUCAGUGAAAGACUAUCAACAAAGCAUGCACUUUAUGGAAGGGAAGCAUUGAGAUAGCCGUGAUUGGCAUGGUUAGUGGAAAGAGCGCCACAUAAAUUAUGAGUUUUGUUCUUGAUAUUUUAUUUGUCACGUACAUAAUAUUAUUUUGCAACUAAUUAUUUUUAUGUAUUUUUUGCAUAGGGUGACAAAGCAAUGGAAAUUUACAAGACAAGAGUAACACUAAAAAAUCAAGUUUUUAAGUUGCAACAUGCUUGAGACGUCCUCAAGGAUUGUCCGAGGUGGGGAACCGAUGCAGACCAAUAAUGGGGAAGAUUAUUUCAACAUGAAGCCACACAGACAAAUGCCGGAGAUGAAGGUGUCGAUGAAAUGACCCCAUCUCCUUUUUUUGCAAGGCCCCCGAGAAGAGAUAAGCAAAAGGAAGCAAAGAGAAAAGGGAAGUCGCAAGAUUCGAUGAGUGGACACUUUGCUACCGGAAUUGCAAAAUUGAACGAAACUCAUAGCGCUUGCCAAGAAGAAACGGGCCAAAUGCGUUUGCAAAUGAAGGAAAUCUCAAAUAGGGAGUAAGAUAGAUUUGAAAUUAAUUUCAUGAUGGAAGACCUCAGUAAAUACAUUCCAGAGAGGAAGAAGUUCUUACGUGGUAAGCAAAAGAAAAUUUUACGAAAGUCUGCUUCAAGGAGUAUAUUUCAAAAUGAUGAAUCCUCUGAACCUUAUAUCCCAAGUCCUGUACGAAGUCCAUCACAAGUGAAGAUGGUGGAUAUGAUUAUUAAGUUUAUGUAGUGUAUGAAUUAUGUGUUUUAUUAAUUAAGUUUAUGUAGUUCAUUAAUUAUGUGGUUUAUGAAUUAUCGGUUGUAUUAAGUUUAUCUGGUUUAUGUACUUUAUUAAAUUUAUGUCUUAUUAAUUAUUGUUUCUAUUAAUCUAGAUGCCUUCAAUAAUUAUUGUACUUAUUAUUCCACACUUUGAUGUAUAAUAAAUGCUUUCAAUAAUUCAAUCUCCAUUCAAUAAUUUAUCCAACGUACUAAACAAAAUACUUUGCACAAUAAGACACUUAAAUUUAUUAUUAGAAAAUAACAACAUAGUACACUUAAAAUUAUUACAUAAAUGCUUAACCAACAUCAUCAAUGUUCACCUUCUCAUCAGUUGAGUCUGUAGAGCACCCAUUAGCUAGCAUGCAAAAAGCAGAUGUGAGCUUCUGAUGAAGUGAUAGACAUUGUCAGCUUGCGACAUCUAUCAUACUUGCAAAGUAGUGGUCAUGAAAGUUCAGCUUCAGCGUCGAACAAUUCUGCAUCCUCAAUCUCAAUCCUUGCUUGGUUUUGUGCCAUAUGCAUUGCCAUGCUACCCCUUAUUCUAUCACCCAUUGAAAGUUGAAAGAUUGGUGAAUAUAGAGGAUUUUUAGGAACAAAAAUUCAUUGAAAAUUGAAAGAUUGGUGAAUAUAUAGGAUGAUUGAAGGUUGAAAGGUUGUAUGAUCAACUAAUAUUGGACGUAUGUUUAUAUAGAGGAUGAUUGAUGAAAGUUGAACGGUUGGUGAAAGUUGAAAAUUUGGUGUUGAACAGUUGGUGAAUUGAAAAUUUGGUGUUGAACGGUUGGUGAAUUGAAAGUUAGCCUAGGGUUGAAAGAUUGGUGAAAGUUGAAGGCUUGCUUUAUGGAAAAUUUAGUGAUUUUUUAAUAUUUAUCGGAAUUUAAAUAUUUUUAUAUUAAAAUGUUCAUAAAAUUAAUUUACGAUAGUCUAUAUAUUUAUUUAUUUUUUAAAAUUUAACUGAAGAAAAAAAUAGCCUAAGUUCAUUAUUUAAUAAUUAUGAGCUAAAAUUUUAGGUCAGAAGGGUUUGAGCAGAAAAGUUGUUUCUGAGCUAAAAAUGUUGGCUUUUAACCCAACCAUUGGAGUUGAUCUAAUAGGGUAACCCUUGAACUAUUUUGUAUUGACCAAUUUGCACCCUACCUUUAAGAUUUUGAAUUUCUGACCACUUUUUUUUUUGUUGAUUUCUUUUUAAUUUCUAAACAAAAACAAAUGAAUGAGUGAAAAUUGUUAAUUUAGAUUUUGAUAUAAUCAUGGAGUGCAACACACUUAUUUGGGUUGGUUGUGUCAUCUUUGCUUGAUCUUUCUUUUAUUUCCUUCUAUUUUGAAUCAAUAUAAGUGGAGAAAUCAAGCAUUUUGCUUUGAAGAAUAAUAUCGAAAAAAAUCUCAAGAAUGGCAAGGAUAAUUUUCUACUAUAUCGGGAAAGUAUCAAGGAAAAAAAGGUAAUUUUCAGCUAUGAUGAGAAAAUCUCAAAAGUAUGAGAGGAUCCGAAUUUUAAUUUGAUAACAAAACUGAAGUUUAAUAUUCUAUUUUAAACUAAUCUAAAUUAUAAUAUGGAUAUUUAAAUUAAAAAAUAUAUUCGCUUCGGCCAAUGCAACUACCACUGAUCUAAAAAAGAAGUAAUUUUGGUUUCCUUCUUUUGGGUAAUGCAAAGACCCAAAAUUAGAAUCAUAAUACAAAAAAAUAAAUAUGCAUUUAUUCCCGAAAUUAGAAAAAAAAAAAGUAAUUAUUAAUCAAAUUUCAUGUUCAUGUGGGUGAACCCGUGGCAAGUGGCAGCAUAAAAUCCAUUUGAAUUUGAGGAAUUUAAUUUAAAUUAAUAAUGAAGUAAUCAACUUUGCACUUCAAUCGCUCUCCAAAUUCGCGGGAACACCAUGGCAGCCGCCGCUCAGGGCAGCUCUCUUCUCUGCUCCUGCCGCAGCAGACCAUGCACAACCAGAACAACCCUAUCCCCUUUCGGUCCCUAUCCCUUUCUCUCUCCUCUCACCCCCAUUGGCGCAAGCUCCAAACAGUUGAAGCUUUCGAAUUCCAGGUUCUCUUUCUCCUCUAUCUCUAUAUAGGGUUUCUAGGUGAAUUUGAGAAAUGAAUUGUCAAUUAAUUUACAUAUUUGCAGGACUGGUAGGGUUGUUUCUGCUGUGGUUUCUGAGGAGAACGCAAUUCAAUCAAGUUUCUCUGGCACCGAUGGGUUCAAGCUCACUUAUUUGGAGGUGGGUUUUCAAUUUUCUUAUUGGUACUUCUUAAAUUUGAUUACUUUUGGGGAUUUUUUUUUACUUGAAUAAAUGUUUACUUUUAGGGGAAUAGUUGGUUGUGGGAUGUGGGUGGGGUGAAAAUACUGGUGGAUCCAAUCUUGGUGGGUAAUUUGGAUUUUGGAAUCCCCUGGCUUUAUGAUGCUGCGAAGAAGUUUUUGAAGAAUUUCCAGGUACUCCUUUAGCUUCGAAAUCAAUUUUUUGAAGCAAAUUUGCCUUCGAUUUUCCUUUUUAAUUACGCAUAUGUUGCCAUUAUUUUGUAGAAUGUUGUGAAGUUGAUAGGCCUGUUUUGAUUGGGUUUGCAACUUUAGUGCAGUUAAGUGAUAUUCCAGAAGUUGAUUGCUUGCUUAUUACACAAAGUCUUGAUGAUCACUGCCAUUUGAAGACAUUAAAGCCCCUCUCCGAAAAGUACCCGAAUCUUAGAGUAAUAGCUACACCAAAUGCUAAGGCCUUGUUGGAUCCCCUUUUCAGCAAUGUGAGUUUGAAACUAAUGUUUUGUUUAAGGCUGCAGCUUCUUGAAUGUUAAUUUUGUUUUUAUUUUAAAUUUUUUAAUAUACGCUGUUUAUCCAGGUUAGGCAUGAACAAUCUCUACAGUCACCACCAAAGAAACAACGAUGCACUUAAAUAAGCAAUGCCUUGUUUCUUAAAAACUAGUGUAGUUUUUAUAAUUGGGGUAUAUAAUCCGGCUGCUGUGUUGGGUUUAUUGUGCAUCUGUUCCCUCUUAAUUUUUGGUUAAUACAUGUGCUACUAAGAUGGUGGACAUUACUACACAAAUUCUAUUCCUAAAUUUUACCUUUCGCAACAACUGAAGUUACUGAACCUUACUGUCAUUACUUCAACUUGGCUCAAUUGUUCCUGAAAAUUGCAAUGCUGGCAUGCAAGAUAUUCCCAAAGCCGUAGAUGAAGUCGCAUUCCGUGUUUCUAUUUGAGAUUUACACUAAUUUUGUUUAGGUCACAUAUCUAGAACCUGGCCAGAGCUCCAUUAUUGAAGCAGGAAAUGGUUCUACAGUCAAAGUUCAGGCCACUGCAGGGCCAGUUCUAGGUCCUCCUUGGCAGCGCCCCGAAAAUGGGUAAGGUGUCAUUUUUCUUAUUGCGAUUGUAACACUAGUGAAUUCCAUUGGCAAGGAAUGAAAUAAAAAGGAAUGAAGUUAAUGGAAAAUUCUUCUUGAUUGAUUGAAUUAAUAAUUACAACAGAGAGAGCAUAUAAAGCUUUUGCUAAUUACAAUGAAGUCCCUAACCAUCUUUACUAAUUACAAUUACAAGUGUAAACAAACUUCUUAAUGACUGAACUUAAAUUGUUGACUGUAUUGGAUGGCUUGGCUUGUAGAUUUUCCUCUUUAUGAAACAGUUCCUUGUAAUAUGUUCUUUAGUCUUUGGUUAAAUGGAUAUUAACGAGAUGUUAUAAUAUGUGGACCAGAUAUCUUGUCAUUUAUCCAGAAGGGAAAUCUACACUUUACUAUGAACCCCAUUGUGUAUACAAUACAAGUUCACUCGAGAAGGAAAGAGCUAACAUUAUUAUCACACCGGUCAUAAAGCAGCUUCUGCCUAAAUUUACCUUGGUCUCUGGACAAGAAGAUGCAGUUCGACUUGCAAAGCUGCUGAAUGCCAAGUACAGAUUCUUUAUACCUUAAUACUAACAUAUACAUAAAGAUGGUUUUACUAGACACAUAUCAACGUCUUUGUUUUACAUUUUGUAGGUUCAUUGUCCCGAUGACAAAUGGGGACUUGGAUGCCAAGGGGCUUCUUGCUAGUUUAGUUUCGGCUGAAGGAACAAUCGAAUCAUUCAAGGUUGUUUUCUUCUUCUCACGGUUUUUUCUACGGUGAAGUAUUAAGAUUUCUUUGUGCAAUAUUAUCACAAUUGAAGUUGUGGUUAUUAAAUGCAGGAACUUUUGUCCAAGGAAUUACCAGAUGCACAGGUACUGCAGCCUACUCCUGGUGUGCCGCUAGAAAUCCCGCUACCUCCAAAUCUUCCGUAAUAUGUUUUCUGCAGAAGAUAUACAGACACUGUAGCUCACUGAAAAUAUGUACACAUCUCAUCAAACUCGUAAUUUGUAAAUGUCUGUUUAUUUUAUUGAUACCAUUUGUUCACUUUUAAUCUGUAUUCAAAAGCAACUCCAAGUAGGCUUGGCCUCUGAGUUACAUAUGAGAAGCUGGUUCACUUGAACAAUAUUCCAUUUUGGAAUAGUUAUUGGGACAUCGGAGGCACAAAUAUUUGUAAGGCCCACUUAGCUAGUGGUAGAGGCAUGCCACUUAAUAAAAUGACAGACAUGCUUUCCAAUUAGCUAUUCCGUUUAGUAAAUUUUUUUUUUUUUCAAUAUUGAAGGGAGGGUUUCUUUAGUUCACAUUAAAAGUACAAAUUUAAGUUACAUAUCUGAGUAAAAGCCGUUAAAUUAUUUAACUUAGUGCUGGUUUGAGAAUGAUGUGUUUUGAAAAAAAACUGAUUCUGUUGUGCUGUGAGAAUAAACAGCUGUGAAAUAAAACUAUAGAGUGUUUGGUAAAUUUUUUUGUAAAAGUGUUUAUGGAAAAAAAAAACGGUAUUAUAAUGUUUGGUAAAUUUUUAUGUAAAACAGCUGUGAUUAUAUGAAAUAACAAAAAAACGGCAUCGAGUAGUUUCUCCCACUACUGAACUAGACUUUCCAAAAACCAAAAACAUCUCUCUAGACGUCUCCCACACAACCCCAAUUUUCUCAGUUUUUAUAUUUUUUGCUCCGUCUUCUUCUUUUUUAUUUUCUGCUCCGUCUCUUCUUUUUUAUUUUCUGCUCCAUUCCUCAAUCUCUCUCGCAUGUCAUUCCUCAAUCUCUCUCGCAUGUCAUCUGAUUUAAGGAGCUAAGAAAAUCUACUCGUAACCCUGCAGCUGCUGAAGAAAUCAAAGAUUUUGAGGGAAACCCAAAAUCCGAAAAGAGGGAAAGAAAUGAGAAAAAUGCAGAGAACCUGGUUUGGGGUUGAAGACGUGGUUGGGGGAGAGAGGGAUUCUCCCGCAAAUCGCAGUCUCCAUGAAUCGAUCUUUCUUUUUUCUUGUGCUGCUGCUUCUGCUGCAAUGCGUCGUGCGAUUUUAUUUAUUUAGUUACAGGAAUUUUCUGUUUUGGUUUAAACAACCGAAAUAACAAGAAAAAGAUCGAACAACUGGUGGACUCCUGUGCUCUGUCUGGUGGGACUUCUGGUUUUCGCAAUCCAUAAGACGGCGUCGUCUUGACCCUACCAAGUACGAACACUGAAAAUAAUUUUUGUCAAAUUAUAAAUCCAAUUUCUUCACCAAAAUAAAUGAAUAAAUACAUAAAUAAAUCCAAUUUAAAAUGAAAAUCCGAAAUGAGCGGUGGGUUAGGCAUCUCCAAUGUACUAGUUCAGUUUCAUUAACGCAAUUUAUAGUUAAUGUAAUUUGGGUCUUGAAUUUUUAUUUUCAGUCAGUUUAUACUUUAUACUUAUAAAAAUAAGUUAAUGUGAGCAUUCUGUCGACUUGUUAAGAUUUUAUUUAUUUUAUGAAAUCCUAUAAGUUGACAAAAGACUUCACAAUGACUUAUUUUAUCAAGCACUAAACUUUAGGGGUGUGAUAUCCACACAUCAUUUUUUACUUCUCACACAUUCUUCUAAGUUUCGGCCGUUAGAUCGGGUGAAUUGAAAAAGAUCAAAGAGUAGACAUUAAUAAAGAGUGUGUGAGAAGUAAAAAGAAGUACGUGGAUAGCACACCCCAAAAUUUAUUGUAACUCUUGACUAUUAAAUUUUUGAUCGUACAUUCAACCCUCAAUUUAUUAUUAGUUUCAUGUAUAAGUUAUAACGGAACAUAUUAGAUUUUUCGCAAUUUUGACACUAGGUGAAAAUGCAGAGAGCAAAAAAACGUAACUGUCCUUUUUUAAGUUUUGCUCUCACGGCCACUUUCGUCUCUCACUUCAUCUGUGUCUGUAGGUCUCCCCCUUUGAACUCUUCUCGAUUAGUUAUUCAAAUUCCAGUUAUUUAACCAUGACCGUCAGGAAAAAAAAAAAAAAGAGGAUUUCCAAGUUAAAGAAAGCAGGAAAGAAGAAAGCUGCCGAUCCGUUUACGAAAUAUGAAGAAAGAUUGGUACGACAUCAAUGCCCCUCGUCUGUGGUUCUAUAACAACAACGUGGGUAAAACUCUGGUCUCCCGUACUCAGGGCACCAAGAGUGCUUCCGGAGCACUCAAACAUCGACUUUCGGAGGUCUCAUAAACUUUUGGGGGAUGAAUUUCACUAUGGACAAGCUGAGGUCCUUGGUAAGGAAAUGGCAGACUUUGAUGGAAGCUCACGUAGAUGUGAAGACGACAGACAAUUAUACUUUAAGGAUGUUCUGCAUUGGCUUCUCUAAGAGACGUCAAAAUUGGGUCGGUAAGCGCUUGAUAACAUUACACAUCAGAAAACACUUCAAGUUCAAUAUUUUAGAAGAAAAAACUAAAUUACCCUACUUAAUCUGCAUGCAACUUUUAGCACGAUUAAUGUGUUUCAGUAUGAAACUUAUAAUUGUUCGGGAUCUUUUUUUCUUUCUUUCUUCUAAUUUACUAAAUAGGUUAAGAAGACCUGCUACGCACCAGCCAGAUUAGGCGGAUCCGCUGCAAGAUGAGGGAGAUCAUGGUCGCGUGGGCGACAACAAGUGAUCUGAAUGACUUUGUCAAAAGGUUGAUGGCUGAAAGUAUAGGUAGAGAUAUUGAGAAGGAGAUGCUGAGCAUCUUUCCUUUACAAAAUGUGUUUAUCCAUAAAGUCAAGAUGUUGAAAGCACCCAAGUUUGAUCUUGACAAGCUGAUGUAUAUUCAUGGUUAUGAAGACCUUGGUGUCAAGGUUGAGAGCCCUGAUCAUCAAGAAGAAACUGCCCUGGAAUAAAACGUAGGACAGUGAUGUUUUGCUUUAAACUAAUCCCAACUGCGGGGAGGAGGAUUCGAACUCAAGUGCAUAAUAGAGCAUAACUAGUCUAGCGAAUGCAGCUAUGCCCAAGUUUAUAGAUAUCAUCGAAGGUUAAUUGUUGCCAGCAUUUUUUUUUAUUUUCUUCUACUUUAAAGUUGCUCGAAUUAUGUUUUGUGAAAUUUCUCUGAGGACAAAGAACCACUUAUUCAUUUCCCGCCAUUUAUGCGGUAUAUGAAUAUGAAUUUUUCAUGACAAUAUAUUAGAUAACACUACUCCAAAAGAGUAUUUUGACUUGAAAUUGCUUAUGGUAAAGCAAAUGCACAACCAGAACCUAGCAUUAAAAAGUAGAAACAAAUGAAAAUGAUACACGAGUUGCUUGGUACGUAGCUUGGCGUUAAAUAUGAUCCACUCUAAUUAAAAGACAGCAUGCUUGAUUAAUUCUUGAAGGAAGAGGAUGACAGAACACUAGUCCUUACUAGUUACUCCGCAACUUGGAUAAUACAUAAUUUUCGUCUGAUUAGUGGCAUAAUAAUCCGCUUAUAUAUCGUUAAUUACGUGUAAAAACGAUAUGUUGAUGCAUCAGCAAUGAUAUUACGAAAACCUCCAACUGUGGAAGCCAACAUGAUGAACACUCCGAUGAAUAUGCAAACCUGUAAACACACACAAUCCUCAUAAAUAAACUUUUUUGUAGCAUGAUGUAUCAAUUUGCGAUAUCGACAACAAGGAACAUUAGAUAUCUUUGGCUUACCCAGUUGACGAGCCAUUGAAUGCUGUAUCUCUUUGGUUUCUUAAUUCUCAGCCACAUUAUACAAGGAAGCUGUUGAAAAAAUGCUCACUUAGUUAAUUUCUUUCUGAUGAUGUAGUUCUGUAAUUUGUGCAAGAAACAAAUUAAGAAAUCAAAUAGAGUGAGAUAGGCUUACAAAGUAUGAAGUGGGGGCAAAACCAAAUCCACCAAAGAAACCAAGAAGGUCUCCAAAGAAAGGGAAGGUGACUCCAACAAAUAAUGUAAAUGCUGCAACAAUAUAGUGAUUAGGAACUUAAUUAGGGUUUAAUCAAGCAGAAAUGACAGAGAUACGGAGACGUAUGGGAAAUGGGAAUCUCACCAACAUAAGCUGAUCUCGUGAUUAGUCUAAGUGCAAUUCCAGGUGGGAAGUUCAUCUUUUUCACCAUCAUCCUCUCAAGCAUGUCAAAAACAGGCAUAGCAUAAACCUGCACACUUUUCAGUCACAUCCUUAAUUUAAUGUAGUUCUAAUAUUAAUGAGAAACACUCAAAGAAUCAAAGCAUAGAUAAAAGCCAUCUCCUAUCAACUGUUAAAGUCGGAGUCACUAAUGGUCGGAUCAGUUCCAAUUAUUUCUUUUCAAAAUAAUGUUUAAAGUGUGUGUUUUUACGAUAGAAAACACUUCUAAUCAUUAUCAUUUAUAUUAGAAGUGCUUUUGUUAUAAAUUUAAAAAAAAAAUUAGAUAAUUCCAAGUGUUUCCAAAACUUUUAUAAAAUAUAUUUGGAAGUGCUUUCUAGAAAAACACUCAAAAAUGCUUUUAAGUUUUUAUGUCAAACGUAAUCAAAAGCAUUUUUAGUUGUCUGCUUUUGUAACUGAGUGCAGAUUUAUACCUGGUAGCUGCCAAUGACAUGGACGACAACCAUUAGGUUAGCAGCAGCAAUGAGCCAUGUAGGUUUUUUAAGAUCUAUGAGCACGUUAUCAUCGACAUCUUGACCAAAGCCCAGUACCCGAUGAGGGCCACCGGGAAAUAGCAAAUUGCGUUGAUAAAGUAGGCUCCUAGAGCACCUUUCCACAUGGGAAUUCUCGACGGCUUCUCAGGCGUCGAUGGAAUUGUGGCUUGGAUUUCAAGCACCACUGCAUGCCCAGCAAAUGCAAACGAGAUUUGACCUAAUGCAUUGAAAACCCUAAACAUGUAAUCUGCAGGGCUUGUUUUCUUGUAUGCAUAGCUCACGUUUUCAACCUGACCUUUGCUUAAGCAACCUGCCCACGCUAUAGUUGAAUAACUGCAAAUUAACAACAAAUUCUAGUUAUUAAGAAAAAUUAUAUAUUAUUUGCCUUCUAAAGUUCUCUUGUUAGGUUUACGAGUAAAUCUUCCGUAGGGUUGUCCUACUAUUGGUAGAACUAGAGCAUGCAUCUCUAUCCAAAUUUUUCUCGAAUUUUAAAAGGAAAAUAUUCACAAAUAAAAUUAGAAGGCACUAAAACAAUAACAUAAAUAUUGUGCAACGUACUAGUGUAUUAUUUGUUUAGUAACUUUCUAGUUUUACUUUUAAUUUAAAAGUUCAUAAGUAGUUGUCACUUAUACGAAUAGUGGAAUAUAUGUGUUAAAAAAUUAAACUUUCUGCCACUUAUAUAAUAACAUGUGGUGUACCACUUGUGUUCCCGUCAUAAUGAAAAUUUUCUCCUUUAACUUGAGUUUGUGUAAAGUACGUAAAAAGGAAUUAAUUUCUGCACACUCCCUCUUCUUUUUUUUCUGUUUUUUUUUUAACAGGUUUUGUUUGGCCUAAAGCAAGUCUUCUAAAUCAGAUUUUCCUUCUCAUGGAAAGUGAAAAUUAAAAUUACUACCUUAGUGACAUGAUAGCUGCUGCUAGAGAAACACCAGCAACAGAGUUGAAAUUGGGGAGCUGGGAAAGAAAGAAAUGAAGGGAACCAAAGAUGACAAUCCAGUACGAUUGCUUGACUGGUGUGCAAUUGGCACAUGCCAUCUCCACAAAUUUCUUUAGACACUUUCCUCCGGUGACCAUGUACACUAUGUCACAACCAACCUGCACAAUCAUUUGUUGCGGAAGCACAAUCCAUGGCCCGAACUUUGGUCCGAAGGCGUGUCGGCCAAGGUCGAUGUAUCGGUCAAACCUAGUUCCCGGAACACAUUCAUGGAGCUGAAUCAUCUGCCACAUUGUGUUCAAGGUCAUGCACCAUGAUAUUACCAGCACCAUUGUCCCUGGACCCCUGAAAAUUAAAGGUAGAAAAAAGUAGGGCUUAUUAGUAUAUUAAUACAAGUACAACUCGUAUAUGUAUUAUUAUCAUGAGUUGGGGUGUUUUGUACCAUCCUAAGAAGGCCAUGGCAUACGGCAGGCUGAGUACACCGGCACCGAUCAUGGCGGUGACUGUGUGAAAGGUGGAGUACCACCAUUUUGCUCGGCGGGCGUUGUCCACCGGCUCCUCCUUCCAUUUGUCGUCUGAAACAACUUCCUGCCAUAGUUUCAAGGACAAGAACGAACAAACAGAAAAAUCAGAGUGGAAUUUGGAAAACGUCGUGUGAAUAAAGAGUGGUGAUGCUCACCUUUGGAGGAGGAGAAGUUGUAACCAUUUUUUUUCUCUUCUUUUGCGAUGAAGACAGAGAAACACUUUCAAUGUGGGAGUUGAUUGGUCGUCAUCAUGCUGUACGUAUAUAGUGGUUUCCUGGCCCGGAAUAUAGGCAGAAAUGUGGGAUAGUACAUUCCAAAACCCCACUCAUGCAUUUAUUUUUAGCUUUUUUUUUUUAACACAGGGACUUGUGCUUUUCCAGUUGAGUGAGAAAUUUUUAGUUGUGACGAAAACAUGAGUGGUACACCACGUGUUUUUAUGUAAGUGGUGGAAAAUUUUACUUUUUAAGUUAUUAACUUUUUAACACACAUAUCCCACUAUUUAUAUAAUGACACGUGGUGUAUCAUCCGUGUGACGGUCACAUUAAAAAAUCUCUCCAGUUGAGCAAUCGUGAAUCAUAUAGGAAAAAGCGGUAAAUAAUUUAGUAAAUUAAGAUGAUAUAACAAAGGGAAAGAGAUCCUUUCCGGAUCUCUUCCUUCACAGUCCAGGGAUCAAUUGAUCCAGAUCCUUGAAAUUUGAUCCACCGGUCAAAAAUUAUUAUAACUUUUAAAAGUUUUUACUAACUUUUUAUUUAUUUAUUUAUUUAUUUAUUUUUACUAACUUCUUUGUUUUUAGCCGUUAAAUCAAAUUUCAAGAGACCGGAUCACUUGAUCCUUAGGCUUUGAAGGGAGAGAUCCGGAGAUAUCUCUUUCCAUAACAAAACCCCUUGUAUGUACUUGGCAAACGAUGUUAAAGUUUUAAACCCUCCACUUAAAAUUAUCUAAAGUGACACGAGCUAAUAUUGCAAACAAGGUUUUACGAGACUUCACAUUUGUCAUACUAGCAAUUAUACACGUUUAUGGUGGCUAAAACUUUUUGGUGAGGAACCUCCAAAAUAUUUUUCGUCGCUGAAGAGGCUUUUUAUAUCUUUAGCGAUUGCUUAUGCAUAUCUAUUUCAUACUAGGAGUUUAUUUUAUUUAGGAGAAAAAUAAGGGAAAAAAAAUGGAGGCAACUGAUAUGAUCACCUGGCCAUGAAACUUUGAAAAAUAAAAAAUAGUAAAAUUAAUUUGUGUUUAAUUUUACUAUAUUGCCAGUGACUUUUAUGUUGGUUAUUUUUCUUUAUUUUGUUGGUAGGGCUAAUUUGAUCAUUUCAAUCUCUUUUGGUUGACAAAUAGAGUUUUGUUAAUAAAUAUUUUAGAUUAUGUGGUUGGAGAGAGGUAUGGAUUGGACUUUCUUAUUAAGUUAGUUUCUUACAUUGAUGAGACCAGUAUGAUAUACGAUCAUGAGACCUAAUACAAGAAAUUUUAUGUCAAAUGGCUCUAAAGAUAACAUGCAACACGUGAGUUUAUAUAUGAAAGAUAUGUUUCUUAAAACGGGCACAAACAAAUUUUUCUCCAAAAUUACUCAAGAUAACUAGGACUGUGGUUUGAUGAUAUACUCCACCCACUUUGAUGCUAUAUACAAAGGAAUCUAAGGACCCCAUUUUGAAAAGCAUUAUUCCAUUAAGCUCCCCAUUUUGACAAGCAUCAUUUCAUAAACCUCCCUUGUCAAUUUUUCUUUACACAAAAAGUUCUUAUGUGCAAUUAUUUAUUUCUAUCCCAAGUUUUGAACCAAUGAUUAAAGAGCUUAGUUGGUGGUGAAUGGAGCCACCUAAAUUGAAUGCGUUGGCAUUAUAAAGAGGGAAUAGUUUGAGGGGUUAAUGAUUAAAGAGCAAGUGAAGGAAUGCUCUUCGUGUAUGGGAGUCGCUGGUGGGGGCUCUUUUUCUUUCUUCUUUUCGAGUGUCCCCUGUGGCUUUGCUAUUUGCAUCCCCAAAAGCCAAUGACGAUUGACUGCUACCCACUUCUUACCACAAAAUAACAAGUAUUAUAUGAUUAUAUCUUGUUUAAUUAAUCUUACACUAAUUCAACAUCAUGCUUAUAUCAUACAACAUGAGUAAUGCUAUUCAUAUUAUGUUUUUAUACCACACUAGGUGGCAUCUGAUGUCAAUAGCCACAUCAUUUGAAAAAUUUGCAAAAUCCGAGGAAAUGAAGGAGAAAGACUUCUCUUAUACCACAAUCAUCAUUUAAUUAACUAGUUUUUCUUAAUUAUUAGUUUAUUAAAUAAUGAACUAAAUUUAAAAAUCUGAUCAAUUCAAAUAAUUUGGCUGUCCACAUCAAAUGCAAUCUAAGGUGGUAUGAAAAUGUGGUACAAAAACUUGGUAUGAAUAGCGUUACGACAAUUGUAGGUUUUAUGACGGUUUUUGUAGAAAUUUGUAAAACCGAUUAAAAACUGCAAGUUAGACACCCAUUAAACCCAUAACGUCCUCCAGAUAGCAAACGAACGAGGGGAGUUUAUAACAGAUGUUGCGAAGACUCGUUAUAGUAGUCAAGGACUAGAUGAAACUCCAAGCAGAUUGACUACCUCCAGACCUUAAAUCCUCAUCUUGAACAAAACCAGCACUUAAUUAAUAAGCAUAUUUAACAGUAAAGCAUCCAUUAGAAGAAGAACCCAAAUGCAGGAAUCACUUAUCGGGCAUAUCCCCUUUAACAUCAGUAGGGUUACUUGUUAGUCCGCCGUACGACAUCGGCACGAAGAACAUUCAAAAGCAUCACAAAUUUCUAUCGAACGCAAGUCAAGUAACUAGCCACAGUUUCAUAAUUUUCAUCUAAAAAGAUAGGCCUCUGAAACUGAUAAAUAAAAGUCCGAUCAUUAGGGGUUACAAUGGCUGAUAGUAAAGUUAUUUAUAUGCGAGUCCCCGAGUGUUUAUAACAAGUUGAAGCUCUUAUUUAACCCAUAAAGCCCCCUCCAGGCAUAUUAGGCCCUUGUGACGAAACCUGUCCCUGUGAAACUAAUUGCGACCGGCCUUGAACAUAAGCUUGAGUCAUCCCCGUCCCAACCAACUGUUGUUGUUGAUGCUGUUGAUGCUGUUGCUGCAAUUGCUGAAGCUGCGGCAGUUGCUGUUGUGAUUGAAGUUGUGAGAGCUGCUGCUGCGAGAGUUGCUGCUGUUGUUGAAUCUGAGGGUGCUGAUGUUGAAUCUGUGGAUGUUGUUGUUGAAUCUGAGGAUGCUGUUGUUGCUGACCGGGUACUUGCAUUUGUUGCUGCUGUUGCUGACCCGGUACUUGCAUUUGUUGCUGCUGUUGCUGACCGGGAACUUGCAUGUGUUGUUGCUGACCGCCUACUUGAAUUUGUUGCUGCUGUUGCUGACCAGGAACUUGCAUGUGUUGUUGCUGACCGCCUACUUGAAUUUGUUGCUGUUGUAGCUGUUGCAUUUGCUGCUGCUGCUGCUGCUGCUGCUGUUGCUGACCACCUACUUGUGGUUUAAACACAACCAUAUCCUGAACCGAUGGUAGAUUUAGCUUUAACAAAAACCAGGUUGUAAGAAGGUUACAAUGCCGAGCCACAAACUCAAUUUGGAGUACCACCACAGGCCUCCAUUUCAGAAAGAAGUUAAAACAGAAGUUGCAGGAUAUGCAGGGAACCUUCAGAACUAAAAGCACCUUAUACAGGCUAGAAAGGUCUUUAACGAUCCCCACAAAAUUUUCGCAAAAUAAAAGGUCCAUUUUCCAGGUUUCUUUUAGUAAUGAAGGUACCUCACAUAUUUGUUGUGGAUUUAGCUCAGAGUUGGUGGCUAUUACUUUAUAUUGGCAAAAAACUAAUAAUAAGGAAUUACAAUCCGCGGUAAUAAGAAUGGUCUAACUAAUAACAAGCUCACCCCUGGAAACAGCAUUCCAAUCAAGCGAUAUGCUUUGUCUGAAACAGAGAGCAGUAGUGUCUGAGAGGGCAAUUGGAUCACUGCACACUGAAAAAGUGGGAAAUCAGCUUUUUGAGAAGAAAAAAAAACAUAUCAGAAUAGUCCUCGGUUUCAUGUUCACAUUCAAAGGAAAACUAUUGCAGGUGGUCAAAUAAAAUAGAAGAACUAGCUUUUGAUGCUGAAGUCUCACAUGGAUGAUACCAGAAUCAAGAAUUACCCCACUUCAAGCCAAGAGAGCCAAUUAAAUGCAUAAAUUUAGUUUAUCACAGCAUUUAGAGGUUCUUGAGUUUAAACAGAUAAUUAACCAAGUUCAUAUGAGAAUGUCACACAGAAUCUAAGGAAGUACUCUGCCAUAUCAGAAUUUACAGAUAAUCAAGUGGUAAUCCAAGAUGCUUAGAUUAAUAUAUAUAACAGAAGACGAUGAUUAGGCAAGUGGGUAAGGACUUUUAAGGGAUAAAGUGGAAGCGGCAAGAAAUUGGAUAGCAAAUUAGCAAUGAGGACAAUUUUUGAGUCUCAAAGGAAAAAGUGGUAAGGUAAAAUAAAGAGAGUAGACAGCUUACAAGUUUCUUCUCUUGCAAUUGCCCAAGAAACCCAUGCUGAUUCAUUGCCCGAAAAACUAAAAAGUCUGCCUUUCCAACAUAUUGCCUGAAUUAUAAAUAUUGAUGAAGUCAAGAAAACUGAGGAAUAUAACAUCAGGAGGAAAAUAUUACACAGAAAAAUAAAGGAGGGAAUGUUUUCACUAAAUUGUAAUUACUUGUUAUUCAUGUGGUCCUGAGAUAUGAGCCUCACUAUUUGCAUUGUUGGUGGCCAGUUCGCCGCAAGCCUGAGGAGUGAAAUAAUGCACAUCAAUAAAUAAACGCCAAUGACACAUUUUACCAUAGUCUGAGAUUAAGAUUUUAUUGUACACUAAAGCACCAACCAAUUAAGGCCAACUAAAGAGUUCUGAUCAAAAUACAUUCAACCUCACGCCACUAUUCUUACAGCAUGUCAAGAUAUUAGGAUUCUAAGAAUGAAGGUAACUAAAUUUUUAUUUUAACCAAAGAAAAAGCCGUCUGCUUUGAUAAGUUAGAAAUAUUAAUAGUCAUAGACCUCUUUUUCUACAUAAAAGAAUUAAAGUUAAAAUAGAAACUUUAAACCAUUGAUUACAUUCCAUUAACAUCUAUUUGAAACAAAAAGAAGAAAGAGUACUCCCGACUUACGUCUCAGAAGCUGAAGCACUCCUGUAACCCUGACAAAAUUAGAAAGCAUUUGUGGAGUCAACAAAUAAUUAACUGCUAAAAUUGUAAAAGAUAACUAAGAGAAAUAUAAAUAAUCCCAUGUCGUUAGGCCCUAAACAUGCCUCAUGCUGUGGUUUAAUUCAGGAUGCUCACACCCUUAUGGUUAUCAAAUUGUCUAUAAAAAUAGAUGCUAUUGAUAGCACACUUGAAAUAACUAUUUAUGGAUUGUUCAGUGUUUUCGGCAAUUUUUGUUCUCUCUCCUCCUCCAACAAAUAUAUUAAAACUCAAACCAAAUGCAUAAUACUUUUGAAUUCAAAUCACUCUGAAGCACAAUCACAAGGAAACAUAGAGAACUUUUUUCAGAAAAAUUUAAGUUCGACAUAAAUAACUAUGGUUAUCCAUGACAGCACAUUGGGUUGAUUCAAUGGCAAUUUGGAAUUUCCCUCUCCGGUGAUAGUUUAUCAGUGGUGUUUUGGGUGAAGAGUAGUUUGUGGAUAUCAAAGAAAUGAUGGUCAGAUGGUUUACCAAUUUAUAUGGAAACAUACUGAAAAUCCUCAUGUGCCAAAGUCACACACAUGCUCCAUUUUUCUCUCAAAAAUAAUGAUUUUGUGCAAUGCAAGAAACCAGACGUAAGAGUAUCACAAAAUAAACCACAGUUUCCAUGUCAUCCAACAAGGCAACGGAGAACGAACCUCCAAUCUAGUGAUAAACACAGGCUGCCCUUGUCUCUGCCCAGAUAAAGCUCCCUGCAUGUAUUUUGAUCAUUCAAGUAUGAGUGAUUGCGGAAUACCACAGUAAAACAGGACCAACCAUCUUUAAAACUUUCGUGAUAUUCUAGCUUAAAAAAGUUACCACCAGAAGUUUGAAAAUCCAACCGUAUUUUUUUAAAAGACCUACCUCCCAGACUUUCACAUAUUUGGAUUGUGCAGAUGCCAGAGCACUUGAUGUCUGUUGUGAAAAUGGCACAUUAGAUGCUGAAUUAUUGUUUGCACCAAGUGACUGCAUCCCAGAUUGCACCUGUUGAGCCAUUCCUGGAGUAGGAAUCAUUGUACCAGUUCCAGAAGAGGCACCUGUUGAACCAAGGGCACUCAUCAUGUUUGGGUUCAUGCCAAUUCCACUUUGAACCAUUUGCGGUCCCGAGAGAUUUCCUUGGCUCAUACCAGGCACAGCUUGACCCAUACUAACACCACCUUGAAGGUUGCUCAUUGGUUGUGACAUCCCAAGGUUAUUGUUGCUCAUUGGUUGUGACAUCCCAAGGUUAUUGUUGCCAGAGACAUUAGAGGUACCUGAAGUGAAUGAAUUAAGACCUGGGUUCUGCGCAACCUGUGUAAGAGUGCCGGACCCGGAAGAUGAAAAUACAUUUUGAGCAGCACCAACUGAAGAUGCCAUUCCACUAGAUAUCAUGUUUGAUACAUGCAUGGCCAUAGGAUUUUGACCCAUAGUUGGGAGUCCCAUAGAAGUUCCUCCAGUUAAGGCUGCUGCGUUCAUCACGCGUGCUUGAGAGAUGUUAUUGAGGAUGCUACCUACAGGACGCGAGGGAUGUGUC